CCGACGGUGAGAGACGAAAGCUGGGGGAGCAAACCGGAUUAGAUACCCGGGUAGUCCCAGCUGUAAACGAUGCGCGUUAGGUGUGUCAGUGACCACGUGUCACUGAUGUGCCGAAGGGAAACCGUGAAACGCGCCGCCUGGGGAGUACGGUCGCAAGGCUGGAACUUAAAGGAAUUGGCGGGGGAGCACCACAACGGGUGGAGCCUGCGGUUUAAUCGGACUCAACGCCGGAAAUCUCACCGGAUAA
rnacentral:rRNA from 1 species